GACGAACGCUGGCGGCGUGCUUAACACAUGCAAGUCGAACGCUGAAGCUUGGUGCUUGCACUGGGUGGAUGAGUGGCGAACGGGUGAGUAAUAAGUGAGUAACCUGCUCUUGACUCUGGGAUAAGCCUGGGAAACUGGGUCUAAUACUGGAUACGACAUGUCACCGCAUGGUGGUGUGUGGAAAGGGUUUUAGUGGUUUUGGAUGGGCUCACGGCCUAUCAGCUUGUUGGUGGGGUAAUGGCUCACCAAGGCGACGACGGGUAGCCGGCCUGAGAGGGUGACCGGCCACACUGGGACUGAGACACGGCCCAGACUCCUACGGGAGGCAGCAGUGGGGAAUAUUGCACAAUGGGCGGAAGCCUGAUGCAGCGACGCCGCGUGAGGGAUGACGGCCUUCGGGUUGUAAACCUCUUUCAGCACGGAAGAAGCGAAAGUGACGGUACGUGCAGAAGAAGCGCCGGCUAACUACGUG
rnacentral:rRNA from 1 species